UACGGGGGGGGCAAGCGUUGUUCGGAAUUACUGGGCGUAAAGGGCUCGUAGGCGGCCAACUAAGUCGGACGUGAAAUCCCCAGGCUCAACCUGGGAACUGCGUCUGAUACUGGAUGGCUUGAAUCCGGGAGAGGGAUGCAGAAUUCCAGGUGUAGCGGUGAGAUGCGUAGAUAUCUGGAGGAAUACCGGUGGCGAAGGCGGCAUCCUGGACCGGCAUUGACGCUGAGGAGCGAAAGCCAGGGGAGCAAACGGG
rnacentral:rRNA from 1 species